rnacentral:rRNA from 1 species
AUCGAUGAAGAACGCAGCGAAAUGCGAUAAGUAAUGUGAAUUGCAGAAUUCAGUGAAUCAUCGAAUCUUUGAACGCACAUUGCGCCCCUCGGCAUUCCGGGGGGCAUGCCUGUUCGAGCGUCAUUACACCCCUCAAGCCUGGCUUGGUAUUGGGCCUUCGCCCCCCGGGCGUGCCCGAAAAGCAGUGGCGGUCCGGUGUGACUUUGAGCGUAGUAAAAUCCACCCCGCUUUGAAAGUUCGCCCCGCGGCCGGCCAGAAACUCCAAAUUUAUUUCAUAAUUGACCUCGGAUCAGGUAGGGAUACCCGCUGAACUUAA